rnacentral:rRNA from 1 species
GACGAACGCUGGCGGCGUGCUUAACACAUGCAAGUCGAACGGAAGGGCCCCUUUGGGGGUACUCGAGUGGCGAACGGGUGAGUAACACGUGAGUAACCUGCCCUUGACUUCGGGAUAACUUCAGGAAACUGGGGCUAAUACCGGAUAGGAAUCCUUGCUGCAUGGUGGGGGUUGGAAAGCUUCGGCGGUUUUGGAUGGACUCGCGGCUUAUCAGCUUGUUGGUGGGGUAGUGGCUUACCAAGGCUUUGACGGGUAGCCGGCCUGAGAGGGCGACCGGCCACAUUGGGACUGAGAUACGGCCCAGACUCCUACGGGAGGCAGCAGUGGGGAAGAUUGCACAAUGGGCGGAAGCCUGAUGCAGCAACGCCGCGUGCGGGAUGACGGCCUUCGGGUUGUAAACCGCUUUCAGCAGGGGCGAAGCUUGUGGUGACGGUACCUGCAGAAGAAGCACCGGCUAACUACGUG